GACAGAGGAUGCAAGCGUUAUCCGGAAUGAUUGGGCGUAAAGCGUCUGUAGGUGGCUUUUUAAGUCCGCCGUCAAAUCCCAGGGCUCAACCCUGGACAGGCGGUGGAAACUACCAAGCUGGAGUACGGUAGGGGCAGAGGGAAUUCCGGUGGAGCGGUGAAAUGCGUAGAGAUCGGAAAGAACACCAACGGCAGAAGCACUCUGCUGGGCCGACACUGACACUGAGAGACGGAAAGCUAGGGGAGCGAAUGGGAUUAGAACCUCCAGUCAGUCCAAGACCAU
rnacentral:rRNA from 1 species